ACAGCCUUAUCACAGUGAAACAUCAGUUCUUGUACAAUCACUGAAGUUAAGCAACAUUGACCCUGGUUAGUAACUAGGUGGGUGACCACUUGGGAAUAACAAGUGCUGUAA